rnacentral:ncRNA from 1 species
ACCUCUCGGGGAGCUAUAUUGAAAUAUAUAGCUGAGAUUGCAAAUAAUUGCUUGACCCGUAGAACUUGAACUGGCUAAUACCAGCGUAAGGAAGAGACUGUAU